CCUCGCCUCACAGAGCAAGGAUCUGAACCCACAAUCCAGACAGAGAUGACAGAGAUAGAGAGACAAGGAGAGACAGAAACAGAGAAGAUGGGGGAAGCCAGGAAACGCCACCUUCACAGGUGAUCCCAUCCACGUCACUGAGCUGGUAGCCCCGGCGGCAGUAGCACUGGACCUGCCGUCAGAAGAAAGCUUGAAGCCCACCGUGCAGCUGCAGUGGUAGGAGCCCGGGGUGUUUUCACACUUGUGGCCGCAGA